ACUCCUACGGGAGGCAGCAGUGGGGAAUUUUGCGCAAUGGGGGAAACCCUGACGCAGCCAUGCCGCGUGAAUGAUGAAGGUCUUAGGAUUGUAAAAUUCUUUCACCGGGGAAGAUAAUGACGGUACCCGGAGAAGAAGCCCCGGCUAACUUCGUGCCAGCAGCCGCGGUAAUACGAAGGGGGCUAGCGUUGCUCGGAAUUACUGGGCGUAAAGGGCGCGUAGGCGGAUGUUUAAGUCGGGGGUGAAAGCCCGGGGCUCAACCUCGGAAUUGCCUUCGAUACUGGACAUCUUGAGUACGGGAGAGGUGAGUGGAACUCCGAGUGUAGAGGUGAAAUUCGUAGAUAUUCGGAAGAACACCAGUGGCGAAGGCGACUCACUGGCCCGUUACUGACGCUGAGACACGAAAGCGUGGGUAGCAAACAGGAUUAGAUACCCUGGUAGUCCACGCCCUAAACGAUGCAUAUUUGGUGUGGGUCAUUCAGUUGAUCCGUGCCGGAGCUAACGCGUUAAAUAUGCCGCCUGGGGAGUACAGUCGCAAGGCUGAAACUCAAAGGAAUUGACG
rnacentral:rRNA from 1 species